GUGGGGAAUAUUGGACAAUGGGCGAAAGCCUGAUCCAGCCAUGCCGCGUGUGUGAAGAAGGUCUUCGGAUUGUAAAGCACUUUAAGUUGGGAGGAAGGGCAGUAAGUUAAUACCUUGCUGUUUUGACGUUACCGACAGAAUAAGCACCGGCUAACUUCGUGCCAGCAGCCGCGGUAAUACGAAGGGUGCAAGCGUUAAUCGGAAUUACUGGGCGUAAAGCGCGCGUAGGUGGUUUUGUAAGUUGGAGGUGAAAUCCCCGGGCUCAACCUGGGAACUGCCUCCAAAACUGCAUGACUAGAGUACAGUAGAGGGUAGUGGAAUUUCCUGUGUAGCGGUGAAAUGCGUAGAUAUAGGAAGGAACACCAGUGGCGAAGGCGACUACCUGGACUGAUACUGACACUGAGGUGCGAAAGCGUGGGGAGCAAACAGGAUUAGAAACCCGAGUAGUCC
rnacentral:rRNA from 1 species